GUCCUCUCUCUCUAUCGCACAGCCGAUCUGUAGAAAAAAUUAUCCCGGCAUGAAACUCUUCCGCCAUUGAAACCAGAAGAAUUGGAAGCACCGAUCUGGAGUUUUAGGUCAUCUUUCACAAGGAGUGUGUUCAUCGUCUUUUCCUAGUUUUCUAUUUUGAGUUUAAUUUUAUGUUUGUUGGUAGUUAGGGUUUGAUUUUAUGUUUGUUGGUAGUUAGGGUUUGGUUUUCACAAGGGAUUUUUUGUGCAAUUUCUGCAGGUGGACAUUUAAUCUGAGAUUUCACAAGGAGUUACUGCAGCUACUAGUGCUAAUCAGUUUCUAUGGAGAAGGUGUUGAAGAUUGUUUACCAACCGCAAGCAAUCUUCCGUAUUCAUCCAGUCAAUGGCUGUUCUGCCACUAUUGCCAAUACUGUAAGAGGGCGAAAGUUGCUUUCAAAUAGUUAAAUCAAACACGUCAUGUCAUUGAAUUAGACGAACGAGCUAAAAGUUCUUUGAUAGACGAUAGUCGACCGUGAUGGAAGAAGUAAAGUGAAGAUCUGCUUGUGGUUUGCUUUGGCGAGAUGUUGAUUGAUUUUGUUCCCACUGUGGGUGGAGUUUCACUUGCAGAAGCACCAGCAUUUAAGAAAGCACCAGGUGGAGCUCCUACUAAUAUUGCUGUUGGAAUAGCAAGGCCUGGAGGUUCAGCAGCAUUUUUGUUGGAAAGGUUGGGGAUGAUAAGUUUGGACACAUGUUUUCCGACAUCUUGAAGCAAAACAAUGUGGAUAAUUCUGGAGUCUGUUUUGACUCCAAAGCAAGAACUGCAUUGGCAUUUGUGAUACUGAGAGCUGAUGGUGAAAGCGAGUUUAUGUUUUUCCGCAAUCCAAGUGCAGAUAUGCUUCUCUGUGAAUCAGAACUUAAUAAAGACCUUCUGAAAAAGAACUUUGUACAGGCAUCCGUCUUUCACUAUGGCUCUGUGAGUUUGAUUGAGGAACCAUGCAGGUCAACACAACUUGCUGUUAUGAAGAUAGCUCAGAAGGCUGGUUGUAUCCUCUCUUACGAUCCAACUUUGGGCAUCACCUCAGGCUGCUAAGAAAUAAAUGAUAAGCAUUUGGGACCAAGCAGAUAUCAUUAAGACAUCGUUGGUCAAACUCUUACUAUUGUGACUACUCAAGAUUUUAGUAAAUUAUUAAUAACUAUGGUUUGUACUUGUGCUGCAGGGUUGUCGCAUAUGCGUUAAUAUCAGAUGCUUCAUUUAGGUUACAAAUAGGUUUCUCUUCUUGAAAUCUAGGUUGUCCCUUGACGCAGAAAAUUGUAUCUUGUACACUCACUAUGCUUCUGAAACUAAGUCGGAAUCUUUGUGAAUU